GGCAUAGGGAGUGGAGGUUAUCAGGGUAUUUCGUACAGUUUCACAACUGUUAUCUUCCAGGUUGCCUGGGAUACCUGUGACCCUGUCGCUUCAAAGCAUCGGCCUCCUCAUUUGAACACAGGCACUGAAGGAUCUCAGAUAAAAUGAUAACCUGUUCCAUUUUUGCAUCGAAGCAACUCACCCGGGACAGGUACCAAUGAGCCAAGACCCGCCAUGGGCAAAGAAAACUCAGGACGGCCAACCUGGAAGGAACCCUUCCUCCCAUGAGCUUCCAGAAUGGUGUGCAGUGUUCGGGAGUUAGAAUGUACUCAGCAAACACUUGUGGAAACCCGGGUUUUCCAGCACUUACACCAAGCUUCAUUUCUAUCAUCUCAAAAUAGGUUUGUUUUUCCUGGACUUGUUUUGCACAUUAGAAUCCAUUUGGAGAAGCACUAAUUCCCUUAAAAUGUAUUUUUGGAACUAGA
ensembl:lincRNA Gm16064 predicted gene 16064